CCAUAACUGAGGAAAAGAAACCAACAGGGAUUGCCUCAGUAACGGCGAGUGAGCGGCAAAAGCUCAAAUUUGAAAUCUAGCACCUUCGGUGUUUGAGUUGUAAUUUGAAGAUGGUAACCUUGGGUUUGGCUCUUGUCUAUGUUCCUUGGAACAGGACGUCAUAGAGGGUGAGAAUCCCGUCUGAUGAGAUGCCCAUUCCUAUGUAAGGUGCUAUCGAAGAGUCGAGUUGUUUGGGAAUGCAGCUCUAAGUGGGUGGUAAAUUCCAUCUAAAGCUAAAUAUUGGCGAGAGACCGAUAGCGAACAAGUACAGUGAUGGAAAGAUGAAAAGAACUUUGAAAAGAGAGUGAAAAAGUACGUGAAAUUGUUGAAAGGGAAGGGCAUUAGAUCAGACUUGGUGUUUUACGAUUAUCUUCUCUUCUUGAGUUGUGCACUCGUAUUUCACUGGGCCAGCAUCGAUUCGGAUGGCAAGAUAAUGGCAGUUGAAUGUGGCUUCACUUCGGUGGAGUGUUAUAGCUUCUGCUGAUAUUGCCUGUCUGGAUCGAGGGCUGCGUCUUUUGACUAGGAUGCUGGCGUAAUGAUCUAAUGCCGCCCGUCUUGAACCACGGGACCA
rnacentral:rRNA from 1 species